rnacentral:tRNA from 1 species
CGUCCCGGGGGCGUCCGGCCCGCGGCGCCGGGCCGCUCCCGACGGCCGGCAUCUGCAUGGUGACGGCGGCCGGGUCGUCGUCGGCGGAGCGGCC